rnacentral:lncRNA from 1 species
AAAAAGGAAGAGAGAAAAUCCAUUUGCACUGUGGAGCGUAACAUUAUCUGCAAAACUAAACAGUUUCUGUACCCAGAGUGGGUGCAUGUAUUGGCGAUGUCUUAUUUUCUCUACAGGUAUUGCAGAGUGGAGGAUCUCCCUCAGGAGUGCUCUGGAACCCCCCAGGUGAGUGUGAGUUGUCCCUCAGGCCAAAUGGAGCAAAGUACAGAUGGACAUGAAGGCCAGUGUAUCCCCCCAUGCUUCCAUCUGCAGCUCCAUAACAAAGCCGUGUUGGGACAACCUCAAGAAACAAUUUUCAAACUUUUUAAGCCAACUCACUUCUCUAUGACCACAGCUGGUUGAAAGCCAAUCACACAAGCUGCUCCAGUGGCAAAGGUGCAAGAAGAAUGGAACUAGAAAAGGGUGAGCACAGAAACAUCACACAUGAGCACAGGUGUAUCCAAACCCCCACCCCAUCCACAUUCACAGAAAGCAGAUCACUUUUCACUGCCUCAGAGUUUCAUCGGGUCCUUUAGAGAGGGACCUUAUGAUUGUGCUUUUAAUUUUCUGCUUACUCACAUCAUCUCAGUAAUAUUUUAUUUUUUUGUCCUCCUUUAGCAACAUGAAGAAUAUACUGUAUCUGUUCAGAAGGAAAAGUAUUUGUUUGAGGACUGACUUGCUGGAAAUAUCUGUAUUUUUGUUAAUGAACCUCAGAGAAUUUCCCUUAGAUAGGGAAUUCUGUGAGGAAAAAAGGCACUGAAACAUGGGGUUGUUUUUCGUAUUUUUAAUAUGAUCAAAUCCCUUCUUUGUCUCUCAAUCUCUGAAACUCCAAUAUAAGCUGCUAUUGCGAUGAAGAAGGAUUAAAAUUAAUAAUUCUUAUUUCAUAAGGUAAGGUGGUCCUAGAUAUAAGCACGCCUGUGUAAAGAGACGACUGCUGACCACCUAGCACACUCCCUGCUACCAUGCUGGAAAGAGUUUUAUUGCAUGUGAGAAGUAUCAGACUGGUGGAAAAAAUCUAGACCCAUCUUUCUCAUUGAUGCAGUAUAGCAUAUACAACAAGAGAGAAAAAAAAUAAU